AAAAAAUAUAUUUAUAUAUAUUUCUUGCCUAUGUAGGUGCAGAGUAUCACUCUGCCUUUGCUGAGGAAAGGUUUCAUCUUUCAAAUUAGCUGCCCCUAAGCCAUCAUCCAGCUCACAAACAAGUCUUGAAUCUCCUUAUGAGCAGCAGUAAUUAGAUGGACCAGAAAAUGAGAAGGGGAGCGGAGCAAUAAAACAGGCAAAGUAAUUUCGCAUUAUUUCCAGACUGGUAUCUCAGGGAAAACUUCUUAAUGGGCCGCUUGUUCUGUAAGUUGGGUUGGCAUUCAAGUGUGUGUUUCUGGGGUAGUGCUUUGGUCCCAGGGCUAGAGAGAGAACUGUCCAUCUCUACUGGUUUAUGGUAGUGUUAGUGUCGGUCAACAGAAUAAGAUCUCUGGUCUGAGUGGAGACUUGUUCGAUCCCUUUGGUAAGGGAUCACCAUAGAAAGCUUGGCUCACCAGCUAAAACCUUAAUGAAAAGAUAGAAUGGUUUUUAAAAUGAGACACUGUAUUUUUCUUUUCCAUGAUCCCCACCACCAUUGUUCAGAAGCUUACUAACCAGUCAUGUAAAAGGUCCUAAGUCUACCCUAUGAACAAUCAGAAAAGCAUACAUAUUUUUCACAUUUUCUAUCUCUUUUCUAAGUGUUCUUUCCUUAGUACUGGGGUCUUUAUCCCCAGCAUUUUGGGCCUCCCUACUCUUUCCUUAAACCCUGUAACCCUACAUGUGGCUGCUUGCUGGCCAUGAGCCUAACCUCCAUGGCAGCUUAAACAGCACGGCUUGGCCCUUCUCCUUUCUUGUCCUCUCGGAGCUGCUAGGGCUCUACAGCUUGCCAGUCCUGGGGUUCUUCUUCUGAACUCUAAUAAAUCGUCCUUGUGGUUCUUCGUGAGUCUGUUUUUAAGUCCUGUUGUCAGUGUGACUCGGAAUCCCAGAAGGGACCUUGAUCUCCCCUGUGUCACUGUGGGAGGAAUAUUAUAAGAGGUGGACUUGAUAAUACUGAAUCCCAUGUUCAGGAUUUGGAAGUAAUAUGUAAAGGACUCUGAAAAGAAGCAAGACUUGGCUACUAGGCUGUAAGCUUCUGACUCAGAAACUUUUUCUGUGCAUUUGUAAGCUUGGCACUAGCAGUAAUCGCCAGGUUGUAGAGAGGGUCCACAUGACCCUGUAGCUUUGGGCAGGUUGAGUGUGGUACACUGGGUGGUUCCAUUUAAGUGGGGCUGACAGUGCUGUUUGGAGGGGUAUAUGGGAAGAUUUGGAGGGAGGGAAGAGAGAAGUGUUGUAGUUACAAUCUCAAAAAUAAAGGGCCUUUUGCACACACCAAGUAAGUGUGCUAUCACCAAGCCAUUACCCUAGUCUAAUAACGUUUUCUGUAUUCAUUUACCUAUAUAAAGUUUGAGUGAGUUUUUUUCCCCUUGGCUACUGUGAAUAGUUGUGCACUGACCAUGAUUGUGCAGAUGCCUCUGAUUUACCAACCUCAGUUCCCAAGCUUCAUAUAACUGGAUUAUAGGAUAAUUCUAUGCUUACUUUUAAGAAGUGUCCAUACCAUUUUCCAUGGGCUAGGAUUAAAGCUAGCUUCAUUGUCCUUGCAAUUUCUGUUUCCUCAAAGAUUAGACUUGUCGUACAUUAUCUUUUAAUUCAUUGGUUGACCAUAAACAUCAUUUCUUUAUGGAAAAUGUCACUUAAUUGCAUGGGUCAUUCUUUAGCUGUGGUGAAGCAUUUUGGUUAGAUGGAUGUUAGUCUCCUGUUUUGUGGUGCUGGGAAUUGAACCCAGGGCUUUCCACUUGUGGAGUGAGCCCUUGGCCUGUAAGCUCCGCCUCACUGCUGCAGUUUGCUCUUUUGCCUAUGCUUUGGGAAUGCUCUUCAGGAAACCAUAAGCCAGACCAAUGCCUGCUACUUCUUUUAGUAGCUCUUCAGCAUUCGGUAUCACAUUUAAUAAAUUGCAAAUUAAUUAUGAUUCAGUUACUGUAUUGGAAUAAAGGUCUAAUUUUAUUCUUUUGUGUUUUCCCACCAGUGAUUCCUGAAGACACUAUCCUCAACCCUUUGUGCAUUUUCAACUCUCUGUAAGAGUUACGUUCAAGUUUAUUUCUAGGAUAUGGAGACUUUGAUGAUUUUAAUCUGGAGCAUGCGCUGAAAGAAACUUCCUCAGUAAAGCGUGACUCAAACAAACAAGUCCACCAAGCAAGCACAAGUGGUCGGCCGUGCACCACACUGACAAUCUUGCCUUCAGAAAAGUACAGGCAUAUGACACUAGCUGUUCCUCCAUCCACCUGUUUGUUCUGUUGUGCAGGCUUGUGUCAUCUCAUCAUACGUGUGUCAUCUUCCUUUUUCAUUUAGUUUAUGUCGAGCCCACGAGAGAACGUGUAUCUGCCUUACCCUUUUUUCUGCUGUACAAAAAGAGAGCUCCGACCAGUUUCAUUCCUCUCGCUGUUUUGUUUUGAGACAGGGUCUCUUGAUUUAGCCAGGGUUGUCCUGAAAUUCUCUGUGCUGACAAGACCGCCUUUGACUUGGGUCCAGUGCUAGAGCAACAGUGACUCUUGGGCACUGAUGUGCAUUUCUAGCUUCAGAACCCAUGACUUUUUAUGAUGCUUCAGUGUGAUCCCCUCAAUGGCCUCGGGGACCGAUACCGAGACCCUUCUCAGGAUGUGACUUCUGUAAACCAUUAAGCAGCCGCUGUGUUUUACAAUCUGCUUCCUUUUUCCUCCUUUCUCUCUUCAGAGAGCCACUUUAGCACCACGACUAGAAGGACAGGAACAACCAGAGCCCCAUCAAAUCCAGCAGAACUUGAUGGGUUUGACUUGGAAGAUGCCUUGGAUGAUCGGACCGAUCUAGAUGGCCCCAAAAAGAAAAGUACAGGAGAGGGAGGAGGUUGGUCAGACAAGGUUCUCGAAGAUAUCUUGGGAGGCGCGGGAUACAAACCUGACAAGAAUAAAGUGGAUGGACUGCCAGACCGAAGGCCGUCAUGAAAGAACUGUGCUGCUGUGAACAUCUGUAUAUGGGCGUAUAGAAGAUUUCACACAGGCAUAGUUUUUAACUGUCUUGAGUACAUGUGGGCAUUGGCAUCCGCUCAGCAUCUGCUAGGGUCUCUGUGCUGGGUCCAGACAUGGCUCCGUUUCACUUGUGGGUGGCCCUUUAAUACCCGAACAAUAUAUUAUAUAUUGUCUCUUUACUAAUCUCACUGCACUUGCCCAAAUUUCUCCUCCUGAGACUUAACCAGAGAACACAGU
rnacentral:sRNA from 1 species